rnacentral:rRNA from 1 species
UACGGAGGAUGCAAGCGUUAUCCGGAAUCAUUGGGCGUAAAGCGUCCGCAGGUGGUUAUUCAAGUCUGCUGUCAAAGCCCGGGGCUUAACCUCGGAGAGGCAGUGGAAACUGAAUGGCUAGAGUAUGGUAGGGGUAGAGGGAAUUCCAGGUGUAGCGGUGAAAUGCGUAGAUAUCUGGAAGAACACCAGUGGCGAAGGCGCUCUACUGGGCCAUAACUGACGCUGAGGAGCGAAAGCGUGGGGAGCGAACAGG